rnacentral:rRNA from 1 species
GUGGGGAAUCUUGCGCAAUGGGCGAAAGCCUGACGCAGCCAUGCCGCGUGAAUGAUGAAGGUCUUAGGAUUGUAAAAUUCUUUCACCGGGGACGAUAAUGACGGUACUCGGAGAAGAAGCUCCGGCUAACUUCGUGCCAGCAGCCGCGGUAAUACGAAGGGGGCUAGCGUUGCUCGGAAUUACUGGGCGUAAAGGGCGCGUAGGCGGACAGCUUAGUCAGAGGUGAAAGCCCAGGGCUCAACCUUGGAAUUGCCGUGGAUACUGGCUGUCUUGAGUAUGGGAGAGGUGAGUGGAACUCCGAGUGUAGAGGUGAAAUUCGUAGAUAUUCGGAAGAACGCCGGUGGCGAAGUCGACUCACUGGCCAAAUACUGACGCUGAGGCGCGAAAGCGUGGGGAGCAAACAGGAUUAGAUACCCUGGUAGUCC